AGUGAACGCUGGCGGUAGGCCUAACACAUGCAAGUCGAACGGCAGCACAGUAAGAUCUUGCUCUUACGGGUGGCGAGUGGCGGACGGGUGAGGAAUACAUCGGAAUCUACUUUUUCGGGGGGGAUAACGUAGGGAAACUUACGCUAAUACCGCAUACGACCUACGGGUGAAAGCAGGGGAUCUUCGGACCUUUCGCGAUUGAAUGAGCCGAUGUCGGAUUAGCUAGUUGGCGGGGUAAAGGCCCACCAAGGCGACGAUCCGUAGCUGGUCUGAGAGGAUGAUCAGCCACACUGGAACUGAGACACGGUCCAGACUCCUACGGGAGGCAGCAGUGGGGAAUAUUGGACAAUGGGCGCAAGCCUGAUCCAGCCAUACCGCGUGGGUGAAGAAGGCCUUCGGGUUGUAAAGCCCUUUUGUUGGGAAAGAAAAGCAGCAGGUUAAUACCCCGCUGUUCUGACGGUACCCAAAGAAUAAGCACCGGCUAACUUCGUG
rnacentral:rRNA from 1 species